ACCACAGGCACAAGUUACUUUGUUUAGGGCGAACCACGUGGUUGAUUUGAUUUGACAAUAGAAAGCACGACGUAACGGUCGAAACACCAUUAUCCUACCGUAGCCAUACGCUCCUCAUCCCUACCAUUCGAGGGCAUUACGACGAAAAUACCCUUCGAUUUAGAGGUUGGCAAGCUUAUAUAAUGGUUAUUUAAGUAAUAUCAAAUUUAGUGUUCGAAUACCUGUACGAGUACCGCUGGCACAGCCAGAAGGAGCUUGGAAGUAGCGCAUAUGCCGCCAGGCGACAAGCUUAUACUACCCCGUGACUAAGAUUGUACGAGUAUCUUUUGUCCCUGUCUCUCCCUCUGCCUCCAUUAUUCUUUGCUACAGUGCCUCAUAAUAUGCAAGAGCCAAGUUAACAGGGCAUUCAAAAGAUUGAUCGUAUUGUAGUCUUUUAGGCCAUCAAUUUCAAUUAACGAAGACAUGAAAAACCAAUUAUCUUCGAGCGAUGAAGAUGACGAGUACCCAUCUUCAGGAAUGAUGUAUUGCUGGUGGAGAUCAGCUGCCAAGUUUGAAGAAUGUUCUAGGCUCAAGGUUGCCCUGCCCAACAUUGCAGGCCUCACUCCAAGACUUAGAGUUCUUAGAGAGCUGGAAAGAUUGGCUUUGAUUGCAAAUGAAGGACUCAAUGAACUUCGUUACAAGUUACAAAUGUAUCGCUCAGGUGAUUUCUGGGUACCCACAGGAGGUAUCAAGAAGGAAGAGAUGGACAUUCCACCAGUAAUCACAAUUCUGUUAGUGGGUUUCUCUGCUUCUGGCAAGAGCUCGCUUGUGAACUUAAUGUACAGUGUUCUUGGUCGAACUGGACUCGUACCUUUUGCUCAGACAUCAUCUGGUAAGUUCAUUCCUAUUCCAUGGAAGUUACUAUUUUCGAUGUGAAGAAUUUGGCAGGUGGAGUGAAGUUGCCUUUUUUUUCUCUCUUUCCUAAUCGUAGGGAGUGCUAAAAACUACGAGACCAUGUACAUGGAAGAGCACAACGUAUUGAGAUCACUGCAAAGUGGGUUUUGCGUGUAUGAUUCUAGGGGUUUUAAUUAUGAUAAAAUGGGAGAGGCCCUCGAGGAAUUGUCGAGUUGGAUGAUCGAUGGGGUGCACCAUAAUCAGCCGUGCUUGAGAUCAGGGGAUCAUACUUUGCUCAAAGAUGAUGCAGAAACCGCAGCUCUAAGAUCGUCUUCAAAGUUUGUGCAGAGGAGAGUGAAUUGUGCUAUGGUGGUGGUUAAUAUAGCUGAAGUUCAUAAAGCUCUAAAAGCUGGUGAUUCGAAGCCGUUAGAGGCAACAAGAGAGCUCUUCUGCUCCCCUGCUUUGAGAAACUGCAGUAAGCUCUCCUCUUUGCAAUUAUUGAUUUUUUUAAGUACUCUACUUUUUUUGUUACAUCUUAAAAGUUUAACUACUUUCUAAUUGUACUUUCACUUAAUUUGACAUGUAAUUUAGCAACUAUGACAGUUUAAUUUGACCGCUUAAUAUUGAAGCUUCCCUCAAUUGAACAAUUAAUAUGAUAAUCAUAAACUCAAGAAUACUUACUGCAAUUAGUAUCCUACAGAUUUUGCUGGCCAUAGUGAUUCCUUUUCUUUUCAUCAUUUUUCUGAUAGUGAAGCUUGAAUGGCAGGAUAUAUAUGUAGUCAAGUUUGAUGCCUACAAAUGAUGGGAGAUUUGGUCAUUCACUAUAAUAAAAAUUGAUGUUCUAUCUACCUAGUCAAUGCAAUUGGUUGUCAUGGGUAAUUUCAAGAACGUUGUGUUUGGGUACCAUAAAUUCCUAAGCAUCCUUUCUCCUCGCAUUCAGAUGAUGUUGACCCUACAAGUGCUACCGAAAUUAACUUUGGAAACUUCAUUAGGAAAAUGGUGUUUCAUACCCAUUAAGUAAACCCACAAUUGUUUUUUUUUAUCGCUAUAUAAUACAAACCAAUGCUUCUCUUAAUGGAGGCAUUGCCAUGGUUCCAGAGCAAAUAAUACAUGUUGGAUCUAUUGGUGAUUGCAGAUGAGAACCCCAUUUUGAUUUUGACGCAUGGAGACUUGUUGACUACAGAGGAAAGGAUCGAAGGCAGGCUCAAAUUAUGCGAACGAUUAGGCAUAUCAGAGACUAAUUGUGUAUAUGACGUAGUUUGUCUCACAGAAUAUGGAUUUCUAGCAGAAGAGUCAGAUCCUGUUACAGCCUGUGCAGUAGCUGAAGCAGUAUACAGGGCAUUGCUCAUCUCAGACAGGGGCCACUUUCCAAAGAAAAAUUUCCAGGACUGGGCAGUGUUCAUAUUGUCAUGGCUAAUGACCUUCAUGGGUAUUCUCUUCGCUUUCCUUGCUGAAAUUUGCACCACUCUCGGACACAGAAAAAAAUUGAAGCAUUAAAGGGGAAGGAAACACAGAUUUUCUGUAUAUUGUGUAUUGCCAGUGACACUAAUGUGCUUUUUUCUCUAAUGUAUUUACUUAUAUGUAGAGAUUCUGACAUUUUUAGCUAGGUUUAGGCUAACUCGAGGCUUCAUAUCGAAGCUGAAGCUGGAAUGUUUAUUUGACUCAAAUUGUAAGUUAUUAGUAAUUUUCAAUUUCUCAUCCUCUUGAUGCUAAUUGCUGGAGUGGACAACUGCACAGAUAAUUGUUCAACAGGA
rnacentral:misc_RNA from 1 species